GAUGAACGCUAGCGACAGGCCUAACACAUGCAAGUUGAGGGGCAGCACAAAGUAGCAAUACUUGGUGGCGACCGGCGCACGGGUGAGUAACACGUAUGCAACCUACCUGUAAGAGGGGAAUAACCCGGAGAAAUUCGGACUAAUACCGCAUAAUACCGCUGAACUGCAUGGUUUAGUGGUUAAACAUUUAUGGCUUACAGAUGGGCAUGCGUAUGAUUAGCUAGUUGGUGAGGUAACGGCUCACCAAGGCAACGAUCAUUAGGGGUUCUGAGAGGAAGGUCCCCCACACUGGUACUGAGACACGGACCAGACUCCUAUGGGAGGCAGCAGUGGGGAAUUUUGGACAAUGGGCGCAAGCCUGAUCCAGCAAUGCCGCGUGCAGGAUGAAGGCCUUCGGGUUGUAAACUGCUUUUGUACGGAACGAAACGGUCUACCCUAAUACGGUGGGCUAAUGACGGUACCGUAAGAAUAAGCACCGGCUAACUACGUGCCAGCAGCCGCGGUAAUACGUAGGGUGCGAGCGUUAAUCGGAAUUACUGGGCGUAAAGCGUGCGCAGGCGGUUAUAUAAGACAGAUGUGAAAUCCCCGGGCUCAACCUGGGACCUGCAUUUGUGACUGUAUAGCUAGAGUACGGUAGAGGGGGAUGGAAUUCCGCGUGUAGCAGUGAAAUGCGUAGAUAUGCGGAGGAACACCGAUGGCGAAGGCAAUCCCCUGGACCUGUACUGACGCUCAUGCACGAAAGCGUGGGGAGCAAACAGGAUUAGAUACCCUGGUAGUCCACGCCCUAAACGAUGUCAACUGGUUGUUGGGUCUUCACUGACUCAGUAACGAAGCU
rnacentral:rRNA from 1 species